UCAAGCGAAAAAGAGCGCAAGGGGAAUGCCUUGGCAUCAGGAGCCGAUGAAGGACGUGAUAAGCUGCGAUAAGCUUCGGGGAGCUGCAAAUGAGCAUUGAUCCGGAGAUUUCCGAAUGGGGAAACCCACCGAAAGGUAUCCUGCACUGAAUCAAAUAGGUGCAGGAGGGGAACCGCCUGAACUGAAACAUCUAAGUAGGGCGAGGAAAAGACAUCAACCGAGAUUCCGCGAGUAGUGGCGAGCGAAAGCGGAUUAGGCCAAACCAGAGGUAGCAAUAUCUCUGGGGUUACGGACAGCAAUACGAGUAAUAAUUCCUAGUUAAACGGCAUGGGAAGGCCGGCCACAGAGUGUGAGAGCCACGUAAACGAAAGGGAUUAGAAUCCAGCUGGAUCCAGAGUACCGCGGGACACGAGGAAUCCCGUGGGAAGUCGGGGGGACCACCCUCCAAGCCUAAAUACUACCUGAUGACCGAUAGAGGAGCAGUACCGUGAGGGAAAGGUGAAAAGAACCCCGGGAGGGGAGUGAAAUAGUACCUGAAACCUUGUGCUUACAAGCAGUCAUAGCCCGUUAAAGGGUGUUGGCGUACUUUUUGUAGAACGGUCCGGCGAGUUAUAGUAACUGGCAAGAUUAAGGUAUUGAGUACCGAAGUCGAAGGGAAACCAAGUGUUAAGAGCGCGUUUAAGUCAGUUGCCAUAGACCCGAAACCAGGUGACCUAGCCAUGGUCAGGCUGAAGUGGAGGUAAAGCUCCAUGGAGGGCCGAACGCACGUUCGUUGCAAUGACCGGCGAUGAACUGUGGCUAGCGGUGAAAUUCCAAACGAACUUGGAGAUAGCUGGUUCUCCCCGAAAUAGUUUUAGGACUAGCGUUGAUAAUGAGUUUAACGGUGGUAAAGCACUGAAUGGGCUAGGGGGCGAUAAGCUUACUGAACCCUAUCAAACUAAGAAUGCCGUAUAAAUGCUUGUCAGCAGUCAGACUACGAGUAAUAAAAUCCGUGGUCAAAAGGGAAAUAGCCCAGACCUACAGCUAAGGUCCCUAAUAUAUGCUAAGUGGAAAACGAUGUGAGAUUGCAAAAACAACCAGGAUGUUGGCUUAGAGGCAGCCACUCGUUCAAAGAGUGCGUAAUAGCUCACUGGUCGAGUGAUCUUGCGCGGAAAAUUUAACGGGGCUAAGCAUAUAACCGAAGCUUAGGAUUCGCAGGCAACUGCGAGUGGUAGGGGAGCGUCGAAUGCGGGGUGAAGUCAUACCGUAAGGAGUGGUGGACUGCAUUCGAGUGAGAAUGCCGGAAUGAGUAGCGAGAAUUAUGUGGGAAUCAUAAUGGCCGAAAAUCUAAGGUUUCCUGGGGAAGGUUCGUCCGCCCAGGGUAAGCCGGGAGCUAAGGCGAGGCCGCGAGGCGUAGUCGAUGCACAUACGGUAGAAAUUCCGUAGCCGGUACAAUUGUUAAGCAUAGUGACACAUGAGCGCAGCACUACCGGGCGUUGGUUGCCCCGGGUGUAAACGAGUCGAAUGAGACGAAGUGUGUGAGGCUUGUGGCGAGAAAAGCUAUGUGGAUUGGUUGUACUGCCCGUACCGCAAACCGACACAGGUAGAUGAGGAGAAGAUCCUAAGGCCAUCGGGAGAAGGGUUGUUAAGGAACUAGGCAAAUUGACCCCGUAACUUCGGAAUAAGGGGUGCCUACGAAAGUAGGUCGCAGAGAAUCGGCCCAAGCAACUGUUUACCAAAAACACAGGUCUCUGCUAAAUCGAAAGAUGACGUAUAGGGGCUGACGCCUGCCCGGUGCUGGAAGGUUAAGAGGAGGACUUAGCGGAAACGCGAAGGUGCGAAUUUAAGCCCCAGUAAACGGCGGCCGUAACUAUAACGGUCCUAAGGUAGCGAAAUUCCUUGUCAGGUAAGUUCUGACC
rnacentral:rRNA from 1 species